GAUGAACGCUAGCGGCAGGCCUAAUACAUGCAAGUCGAACGGUAAAUAUUGUAGCGAUACGAUAUGAGAGUGACGUACGGGUGCGUAACACGUAUGCAACCUACCCAAAACUGGAGUAUAGCUCGGGGAAACCCGAAUUAACCCUUCAUAGUAUCACUGGAUGGCAUCAUUUUGUGAUUAAAACUCAGGUGGUUUUGGAUGGGCAUGCGUCUGAUUAGCUAGUUGGCGGGGUAAAGGCACACCAAGGCGAUGAUCAGUAGGGGAACUGAGAGGUUGACCCCCCACACUGGCACUGAGAUACGGGCCAGACUCCUACGGGAGGCAGCAGUAGGGAAUAUUGGUCAAUGGAUGCAAGUCUGAACCAGCCAUGCCGCGUGCAGGAAGAAGGCCUUCUGGGUUGUAAACUGCUUUUGCCAGAGGAUAAAAUGGGCGUGCGCGCCUAAUUGAAGGUACCUGGUGAAUAAGCCACGGCUAACUACGUGCCAGCCGCCGCGGUAA
rnacentral:rRNA from 1 species